rnacentral:rRNA from 1 species
GCAUAACGCGAAGAACCUUACCUGGGCUUGAACGGCCGGUGGUACGGACCCGAAGGGCGAGGACCCAGGUUUCCUGGGAGCCGGCAGAGGUGCUGCAUGGCUGUCGUCAGCUCGUGUCGUGAGAUGUUGGGUUAAGUCCCGCAACGAGCGCAAACCCCUCGUGUUUAGUUUGUCCACGCGAGUCAUGUCGGGCGACUCUAAGCAGACUGCCUCGGAUAACGGGGAGGGAAGGUAGGGGAGUGACGUCAAGUCAGCAUGGCCUUUAUGUCCAGGGCCGACACACGUGCUACAAUGGGCGGGUACAGAGGGAGUGCAAAUCCGCAAGGUAGAGCUAAUCCCUAAAACCGUUCUCAGUUCAGAUUGGAGGCUGCAACUCGCCUCCAUGAAGGCGGAAUCGCUAGUAAUCGCGGAGUCAGCUACGCCGCGGUGAAUACGUUCCCGGGUC